AAAGUACUCCCUCCGUCCCAAAAUUCUUAUCUUAGGUUUGUCUAGAUACGGAUGUAUCAAGUCACAUUUUAGUAUUAGAUACAUCCGUAUCUAGACAAAUCUAAGACAAGAAAUUUGGGACAGAGGGAGUAGUUG
rnacentral:pre_miRNA from 1 species